rnacentral:rRNA from 1 species
AUUGAACGCUGGCGGCAUGCUUUACACAUGCAAGUCGAACGGUAACAGGCCUUCGGGUGCUGACGAGUGGCGAACGGGUGAGUAAUGCAUCGGAACGUACCCAGAGGUGGGGGAUAACGCAGCGAAAGCUGUGCUAAUACCGCAUGUGAUCUGAGGAUGAAAGCGGGGGACCGAGCAGCAAUGUUUGGCCUCGCGCCUUUGGAGCGGCCGAUGUCGGAUUAGCUAGUUGGUGGGGUAAAGGCCUACCAAGGCGACGAUCCGUAGCUGGUCUGAGAGGACGGCCAGCCACACUGGGACUGAGACACGGCCCAGACUCCUACGGGAGGCAGCAGUGGGGAAUGUUGGACAAUGGGCGCAAGCCUGAUCCAGCAAUGCCGCGUGCGGGAAGAAGGCCUUCGGGUUGUAAACCGCUUUUGGCAGGAACGAAACGGUGUCCGCUAAUACCGGGCGCUAAUGACGGUACCUGCAGAAUAAGCACCGGCUAACUACGUG